UCAUCAUGAUCACCUCUGAAUUGCUCUUAAAUUUAUCAUCAUCAUUAGUAGCUGUACUUGGUUGUUGUUGUUGUUGUUGUUCAUGAAAAUGCAGUCUAAAGGCUACCACCUGACGUUUAACAAAUGUCUGGGAAGAAGAGCAAGCAGGCAGGGCUCAUAAUCCCCACUCACCGAUGGGGUAAAUAAAGCUUGGGGAGGUUUUCCAGCAUAGCCUGGGUCACGCUACUAAGAGUAGAGCUGGGACUUCAACCAGGGUUUCUGACUCCUUAAGUCUAGUGCUUGAUAAAUGUUGGCACAUGCUUGAUACUGAAAACCGAUUUCCAGUUCUUUAAGAAUUUAUAUUCUGAGGAACUCAGAUUGGUAACUAUGGAAAGUUUUCCAUUAAGAGGAUUUUUGAAAGUAAAACAGGAGGCUCUCUUAUACUUUUUCAGAAGAUUUUUAUCACGAAUUCCUUUCAGUUUAUAUGUUUUUAUAUUAUCUAUUCAUUCCUACCGCAAGAGAUAAUUUACAUAGUUCAACAAUAUGCCACCGAUAAGUUACAGAUUAAUUGUUAAUUAAUUAGACAGGCUACAGAAAACUAACUCCUAUGAUGCAGAGCCUAAACCAAGCCUGGUCAUAAUUUCUAGUCCUUGCAGUGGGAUAGGGACACACAGGGUGGUUGUUAGAGCCUGGUACCCAACAUGACUCUGGCCUCAGAAGGGCCAGAUUUGGUAUUUUGGUAAUACCAAAUUUUGGUAAUACAUUUUCUAGUCAGAUUAUGUCUAAUAGUAUCGAUGCAGAUUUUUGACUUAUAGUUAGGCUUAUUGUUGAUGGGAGGCGGUGUAUUACGAUUGGAAAGUACCCUAGGAGGUUAGAGAACUUGAAAAGGUUUGAGGGAUAUUUGAAUUUUAAGUUUUUAGCCUCGAGAUUAAGAUAUUUAAUGCUAGAAGAUCACCUCUGCUUGGA